AGAAAUGAAGAGUGUGACCUUUGUCUUGCCUGGGUUUAACUUGUGGGCUCAAAUAAAUAGUCCUCUGCCUUGUAGACACUGGGGCCACAGCAUGGGUCACCAUAUCCAGCUCAAAGUCAUCUUGUGCCAUCUCCCAUCCCUGCAGCCACCCUUGAUGGCGGCCUCCUCUUUGGACACUGCUCAGCAGUUUGUCUCCUGGUUAACCUUGGCUAUGUUGCUUGUUGAUGUGACCUCCAUGCUCACUAAACGUGUUUCACAGGACAGAACUGUUGUUGCAGUCCUUUCUCCAUGCACCUAGAAGCUACUCAUGGAGCAUGUGUGCGCUCCUCUGCAGGAAAAUGGAACCAGGAACCAGGUUACAGUCAUCAGCAGAGCCAGGCCUCAUGGCAUACACCUUUCAUUCCUGCAUAAGGAGCCAGACACAGGCGGACGGAUCUCUGAACUUCGACGUCACCUGGUUUAUAUGCUGAGGUCCAGGACAGUGAGUUCUAGACAGCCAAGGCUACACAGAGAAAUGCUGUCUCAAAAAACAAAAAAACUCACUUGCUUUCACUGUGUGUGACUAGAAUCAUGUAAUUGAGUGAAGGUGGAGAUGUAGUAUUUAAAGUUGCUGAGAAAAUUAAGCCUGUACUUUUCCUCUUCACCUUUUCACAAAGGACUGCUGUAAACUAUGAUAGGCAGAACAGUCUUGGUCAAAAGCAGUAUUUUUCUUUCUUCAGGAAGUGGGUCUAAAAGAUGGAAGAAUUGAAAGACUGAAGUUAGAACUCGAAAGGAAAGAUGCAGAAAUUCAGAAGCUGAAGGCUGUGGUCACUCAGUGGGAGGCAAAAUACAAAGAAGUAAAAGCAAGAAAUGGACAAUUACUGAAAAUGCUUCAGGAGGGAGAGAUGAAAGAUAAGGCUGAGAUCCUUCUGCAAGUGGAUGAAUCUCAAAGCAUCAAGAAUGAGCUGACAGUCCAGGUGUCUUCGCUUCACGCCGCAUUGGAACAAGAAAGAUCUAAAGUGAAAGUAUUACAGGCAGAAUUAGCCAAAUAUCAGGGUGGCAGGAAGGGGAAAAGGAACUGCGAGCCGGACCAGUGUAGGUGAUCGUGGCCAUGGGGGCCAGCACAGAAAGCUUUCACACUUCUGCAGAAAUGUGUGUCUAAUGCUGCAACUGCGAAACUGCAGCCUUUGUUGAAGGAACUAAAGCACCUAGUUCACUCAUAGUCUACAAUUUUAUGUUCUUUUGGCUUAAAGUUAAAAGAAAAUAUGGAAUACCAGCAGAACUUGAUAAUUGUUUUCUGUCCAAACUUCUUAGGACUUUAGUUUUUCAUCAGUCAAUAAAAUUAAUUUACUCUUCC
rnacentral:lncRNA from 1 species